rnacentral:rRNA from 1 species
UACGUAGGUGGCAAGCGUUUGUCCGGAUUUAUUGGGUUUAAAGGGUGCGUAGGCGGCAUUUUAAGUCAGUGGUGAAAUACUUCAGCUCAACUGGAGAGGUGCCAUUGAUACUGGGAUGCUUGAGUACUGAUGAGGUAGGCGGAAUGGACGGUGUAGCGGUGAAAUGCUUAGAUAUCGUCCAGAACACCGAUAGCGAAGGCAGCUUACUAAGGAGUAACUGACGCUGAGGCACGAAAGUGUGGGGAUCAAACAGG